UACGUAGGGGGCUAGCGUUGUCCGGAAUCAUUGGGCGUAAAGCGCGCGUAGGCGGCCCGGUAAGUCCGCUGUAAAAGUCCAGGGCUCAACCCUGGAAUGCCGGUGGAUACUGUCGGGCUCGAGUCCGGAAGAGGCGAGUGGAAUUCCUGGUGUAGCGGUGAAAUGCGCAGAUAUCCGGAGGAACACCGGUGGCGAAGGCGGCUUCCUGGACCGACACUGACGCUGAGGCGCGAAAGCUAGGGGAGCAAACGGG
rnacentral:rRNA from 1 species